rnacentral:rRNA from 1 species
AGUGAACGCUGGCGGUAGGCCUAACACAUGCCAGCCGAACGGCAGCACAGUAAGAGCUUGCUCUUACGGGUGGCGAGUGGCGGACGGGUGAGGAAUACAUCGGAAUCUACUUUUUCGUGGGGGAUAACGUAGGGAAACUUACGCUAAUACCGCAUACGACCUACGGGUGAAAGCAGGGGAUCUUCGGACCUUGCGCGAUUGAAUGAGCCGAUGUCGGAUUAGCUAGUUGGCGGGGUAAAGGCCCACCAAGGCGACGAUCCGUAGCUGGUCUGAGAGGGUGAUCAGCCACACUGGAACUGAGACACGGUCCAGACUCCUACGGGAGGCAGCAGUGGGGAAUAUUGGACAAUGGGCGCAAGCCUGAUCCAGCCAUACCGCGUGGGUGAAGAAGGCCUUCGGGUUGUAAAGCCCUUUUGUUGGGAAAGAAAAGCAGCAGGUUAAUACCCCGCUGUUCUGACGGUACCCAAAGAAUAAGCACCGGCUAACUUCGUG